GUUGUGUGUGUUAUCUGUUAUCACUGUAUUAUACUGUAAAUGAAAAAGGCUUUAAUCCUUCAUGAAAGUCAUAAUAUGGCAUGUGCAUUUAUGUCCAUUUUUGAUUAGAAAACGAAAUAUGUCAGACAUAGUUAUUUUGAUUGGCUAAAUGUAUUUUUACAUUCUCAGUUAGCUUCAGGCCUCACUGAGGAGAACUAUUGAGGUAGAAAGCUGGUGAAGCCAUUUCAUUAUAUUCUGUUUGCACAGAUUCAUUCGACCACACAACACAACGCAGAGAUACAUGUGGCAUCAAACCAGAGAAUGAUUAGAUAAAUAGAGAAAACGGAUAUAAUUUGCUUAUUAUCUGAUUACCAGCACAGCGGACUUGUAACAGUAGCAGCAGUGGAGAUGGAGCCUCAGAACCUGGAGAAUACAGCAACAACAACAACAAGGAUCCAUUUGAAGAUAGCUGCAAGAACCUCCAUCUGUGCCUGCACCCAGGUCAAGAUCUACCGUGGCUCAAGGGCCUUCACCAGAGCCAUCACCACCAAGGACCAGCAUCACUACAGCAGCCUCCACCUCCAUCUGUGCCUGCCACAAGAUUAAGAUACACCUCGGUACAAAGGCCUCCACCACAGCCAUCACAAUCAACCCAGCCAGCAAAGAAGUCUCGCCUAGCACACCUCCCUCCCGCCGACACAGCCACCAGCAGCCCAUGCACCAUCACCCCCACCUACACAGAAGCCAGACCCACUGUCUUGGAAGAAAGACAAAGACCAUGGCAAUGCUCCCCCUGUCUUUACAUUUAUAAUGAAUAGUUGGUUGACAAAGUUCUGAUAUUGUCAGGGUUCUUACAGUCAUUAAAAACCUGGAAAAGUCAUGGAAUGCAAUAUUUUUUCCAAAGUUUUGGAAAAGUCAUGGAAAUAUAACUAAAGUUGCAUCAAAUAUAAUUUAUGUGUUAUCUAAUCGCCGAAAUAGUAAUACUAUAAUGAUAAUAAAUACUGUAUCGUAUAAUGAAACGUAAAAUGGCAACUGUGGCAGUAUUUUGCUGGUGAGAGAUGUUUACAAUCAUGCCCUCUAGUCUACAGGAGCUACUAUUUGAUAUAAAGAUGCCAGGGAAGUGCAGUUUCAACAAUGUAUGGCUUCUAAAGAAUAAGUAAUUGUGGUUAUCAAAAGACAUUGACCCAAGACGUGCUAAAUGCAAACUGUUGUAACAUAUUCAAUAUUUAGAAUAUGAAAGAGUCAUUUCUUUGGUCAUGGAAAAGUCAUUUAAAAUCAUUGGUGAAAAAGUGUAUAAACCCUGUAUUGUAAAUAUUGAGAUACGAUACGAUACGAUAUUACUUUAUUGUCAGAUCAAGUCUGAAAUUUGACUUGCGUCACAGCAGCUCCAUGUCCAACAUCAACAGACAAAUAUGCAUACACAAAUACAUGAAACACAAACAUUUAACAUAACAGCACAAUCAGUGAGAGAAAAACAUGCUCAAAGAGCCUUCAGCGUGCAUUUGGUCUGGGAUUUAGCUCUGUAUUUACUCUGAGGACUGACUGAUGCACAAAGGAGUGCUUCAGUCUGACUUUAUUGAAUCGUGGGACCCUGUAUCUCCGAUUAGAUGGUAGCAGUUCAUAUUCACUGUUCAGAACAUGGUUUGGGUCGGAGAUGAUGUUGUUGGACAGCCUCACUAGGUUGUUAUGAUAGGCUGAGUCAUAGAGUCUCUGACAGGGUUGACCAACAAUCUUUGAGCAGAUCUUUAACAGGUGGAGUAGUUUUGAUUUUAACGCUGCUGACAGACAUUUGUACCAGGUAGUAUUGCAGUACUGUAGAAUGGACAUGAUCAAAGAUGUAAAGAACAACAGAAGAAUUUCUCUGCUCGCGCCAAAAGACCUAAGACGGCGGAGAAAAUAAAUUCUUUGUUUUGUCCUUUUGCACCAGAUGUUACAGUUUCUUAUGUUAACAUAAAUAGUUGGUUGAAAAAAAAA